rnacentral:rRNA from 1 species
UACGUAGGGGGCAAGCGUUGUCCGGAUUUAUUGGGCGUAAAGAGCGUGUAGGCGGUUUGGUAGGUCCGUUGUGAAAACUCGAGGCUUAACCUCGAGAUGUCAUCGGAAACCAUUUGGCUAGAGUCCGGAAGAGGAGAGUGGAAUUCCCGGUGUAGCGGUGAAAUGCGCAGAUAUCGGGAAGAACACCCGUGGCGAAGGCAGCUCGCUGGGACGGUACUGACGCUGAGGCGCGAAAGCGUGGGGAGCGAACAGG